UAGGCUACCUGUACCUUACAUAGGUGAUGAAUUGCAUCACUCUGGCUGGAAUUCCUGCAGUUCUUGCCAUGGUGAGCCAUCAGCGCAUAGGCGAUUCCUAAUCUUGCCUUCAUUGCUAUCUGGUCGAAUCUAUGUUGUUGACACUAUAAAGGAUCCAAGAUCUCCAUCUUUGCACAAAGUGGUUGAGCCUGAAGAUAUUGUGCAGAAGACUGGAUUGGCAUUUCCUCAUACUUCUCAUUGCCUUGCAUCCGGUGACAUUAUGGUAUCAUGCCUUGGAGACAAAGAUGGGAAUGCCACUGGGAAUGGGUUCCUUCUCCUUGAUUCAGAAUUCAAUGUCAAAGGAAGGUGGGAGAAGCCAGGUCACAGCCCACUCUUUGGCUAUGAUUUCUGGUAUCAACCCCGACACAAAACAAUGAUCAGUUCAUCAUGGGGAGCACCUGCAGCUUUCUCCAAGGGCUUCAAUCUUCAGCAUGUCUCAGAUGGUCUCUACGGGAGACAUUUGUAUGUAUACAGCUGGCCUGAAGGUGAGCUGAAGCAGACAAUGGACCUUGGAGACACAGGGAUGAUACCCUUGGAGAUUAGGUUUCUCCACGAGCCUUCAAAAGCGACAGGCUUUGUUGGGUGCGCUUUAACAAGCAACAUGGUG
rnacentral:misc_RNA from 1 species